GGGGGGAUGUUUAAUUCAAGAAAACCAAUAGCUAUUUGGCAAUAAAUAGAUACAGCUUUGGAACCUUCAAAUGUUUUUUUCUUCCUAGUCUGACUGUAGGUCAGAGACAUCCACUUCACAGAAAUAAUUGCUGUACUUUCAUUUCUUAAAAAAAUUUUUUUCAGCUUAUAUCAAGAUAACACUGGAAGAGUUACUUUACUGAUAAAAGAUGUAAACAAGAAAGAUGCUGGGUGGUAUACUGUGUCAGCAGUUAAUGAAGCUGGAGUGACCACAUGUAACACAAGAUUAGACGUUACAGCACGUCCAAACCAAACUCUUCCAGCUCCUAAGCAGUUACGGGUUCGACCAACAUUCAGCAAAUAUUUAGCACUUAAUGGGAAAGGUUUGAAUGUAAAACAAGCUUUUAACCCAGAAGGAGAAUUUCAGCGUUUGGCAGCUCAAUCUGGACUCUAUGAAAGUGAAGAACUUUAAUAACUUUACCAACAUUGGAAAACAGCCAACUACACCAUUAGUAAUAUAUUUGAUUACUUUUUUUUGAAAUUAAUCCAUAGCUGUAUUAACAGAUUAUGGUUUCAAUUAGUUAAUAUAGUUAAUAUAUAUUUAUAAUAUUAUUUAUCCUUUGACUCUUGCACAUUCUAUGUACCCCUCCGAUUUG
rnacentral:sRNA from 1 species